rnacentral:rRNA from 1 species
GUGCCAGCAGCCGCGGUAAUACGUAGGUGGCAAGCGUUAUCCGGAAUUAUUGGGCGUAAAGCGCGCGUAGGCGGUUUUUUAAGUCUGAUGUGAAAGCCCACGGCUCAACCGUGGAGGGUCAUUGGAAACUGGAAAACUUGAGUGCAGAAGAGGAAAGUGGAAUUCCAUGUGUAGCGGUGAAAUGCGCAGAGAUAUGGAGGAACACCAGUGGCGAAGGCGACUUUCUGCGUCUGUAACUGACGCUGAUGUGUUAAAGCGUGGGGAUCAAACA